UGUGUGUGUGUGUGUGUGUGAACUGUGUGAACUCCUGAGGAGGACCUUGACAAUGCAGGGAAAGUGAAUGACAAGUCAAUCUGCAUUCCAAUGGAGGAGGAAGACCCAGACAGGGCUAAAUAGUAGGAUCACUAGCCAGGGGACAGGUUAGGUUAGGAGGCUGAGGAGGCUGUUAUGGUUACAGUCAGACAGGGGACAGGUUAGGUUAGGGGGCUGAGGAGGCUGUUAUGGUUACAGUCAGACAGGGGACAGGUUAGGUUAGGGGGCUCUUGGUUCUUAGUGUGUUUGUCUGGGCAUGUUGAGCAGUGGUUUAGUUGUGCAGUGGUUCUGUGGGUUCUAGAAUAGUUCAACUAGAAGUGAAUUUUGGGUCAUUCCAGAUGUGACAAAGUCCAGAUGAAAUCUAGAGGGAUGAAAUCUAGAGGGGUGAAAUCUAUAGGGGGUAUGCUAGGACAUGUUGAUUGUAUAGAGGAGGAUUGUAGUUCAUGUUUUAGUUUGAUAGUUCUAUUGACCAUUUUAUCUCAUCAAACUGAACUACAGAACAUAAUAAUCUAUAUUUUAUCUCACCAAACUGAACUACAGAACAUAAUAAUCUAUAUUUUAUCUCAUCAAACUGAACUACAAAACAUAAUAAUCUAUAUUUUAUCUCACCAAACUGAACUACAGAACAUAAUAAUUUAUAUUUUAUCUCAGCAAACUGAACUACAGAACAUAAUAAUCUAUAUUUUAUCUCACCAAACUGAACUACAGAACAUAAUAAUCUAUAUUUUAUCUCACCAAACUGAACUACAGAACAUAAUAAUCUAUAUUUUAUCUCACCAAACUGAACUACAG
rnacentral:lncRNA from 1 species